rnacentral:rRNA from 1 species
UAUUUUUAAAGGGCCGCGGUAUACUGACCGUGCGAAGGUAGCAUAAUCAUUAGUCUUUUAAUUGAAGGCUUGUAUGAAUGGUUGGACAAAAAGUAAUCUGUCUCAGUUAUAAUAGUUGAACUUAACUUUUAAGUGAAAAGGCUUAAAUACUUUAAGGGGACGAUAAGACCCUAUAAAACUUAACAAUAAUUUGAUUAAAUUAUAAAUUGUUAGUAUAACUUGAUUUUAAUUAAUGUUUGUUGCGUUGGGGCGACGGGAAUAUAAUUAGUAACUGUUCUUAAAUAUUUUAUUAACAAGUAUAAUUGAAGAAUAAUUGAUCCUUUAUUAAAGAUUAAAAGAUUAAGUUACUUUAGGGAUAACAGCGUAAUCUUCUUUGAGAGUCCUCAUCGACAAGAAGGUUUGCGACCUCGAUGUUGAAUUAAGGUAUCCUUAUAAUGCAU